GGGCAUGUAGCUCAGUGGUAGAGUGCUUGCCUAGCAUGCAUGAAGCCCUGGGUUCAAUUCCUAGUACCA
rnacentral:tRNA from 1 species